UGGAUGGUGCUCUAGGCUGGCUGUUAGGAUGCCACAAGAACAAGGCCCUGAGACAGAUUGUGUAUAACUUGACCGGAGAGCUGAGUCACUGAAGACCCACCACAAACAAAGAGUGUGCAGGGGCACACACUCAGCCAGGGGGUCUUGUGAGAGGAGUGUGACCACAUUGCAUUCAGACAAAAAGGUUGACUUACAGGUACAGAUCUUUGAAAGCUUUCCUGAAACACCUGGGUUUCCUGAGAGCCUCACUAACUCUAAUCUUGAACACAAUCCAAGUCAGAAGUUUACGGCUAGAUUUUCAAAGAAGUUCAUUUUCCACCAAAUAAAAGCAGUGGUUUGCCAAAGUGCACAUGCCAAGAAAUAGAAUUAUUUUCUGUAAUGCAGCUGAAAAGAAGGGAUUUGUGCUGCCCGGAGAGCACUGAACACAAUGCUUCCAGUUACAUGCACACCCCAUCCCAUCCCCAGAAUUUCAAGACAUUUAGAAAAAAGUUUGUAAUAGCACACUGAUCAACACCUCCUUUCAGUAUGGAUUCCACCCCAUGUCCACUGAAGUCAAUGAACAGACUCCCAUUCCCUCCACUGAGAGCUGGAUGGAGACUUAAUUGCCAAGUCCCACAGCUAUUGAAGUCAAUGAUUUCAGUGUGAACAGUAUUAGUUCCUAUUUGAACCAUGGAAACAAACAAUGGCCUGUGUCACCAACAGGAAAAUUUGUAACAAAUA